AAGAGCAAAGAGGCUUUUUUCUUUUCUAUCAGCUAACUUGGCACUGACCACAGAGAUCAGGAUCAAGAUGGCUCCUAUGUCCUUUGAUUGUAUCUGGUCCUUUGAUGGUUCCUAUGUCCUUUGAUUGUACUUGGUCAGUAUCUUAUCUUGCCUGUUUCAUUCAAUCACCCUUUUUCUGAUCUUGGGACAGCAGAUAGUGUCGCAGUAUCUGCUGACAGAUUUUUUUUUUCUUUUUGUAUGGUAACUAAUAGCACAGAAAGAACUUGAAUCUUUGCCAGCCUCCUACACAUCUUUUGGGGUUAGUAAGUUAUAUAGUCCCUAUAUGCAGCUCAUAGCCAGAGAAGUCCAGGACCAACUGUUCUGAAGGUUUCAUUUUAUGAAAUGAGAGCUUACCCACUCCUUUCCAGCCAAGAGAGAACUGGAGGUGGGUUAAAACCACGAGGCAGAUGACUUGUGAGGUACUGAGAGCAAGAGAAGAUUACAUCUUCAGAGCAUACUAGCAAUUCAAGAUCCCUGAAAGGCCAGCCUGUUAUCCACAGGAUCAGCAUAGGACCUGACCACAUGUGCCUGGUACAGAUGGAAGCAGCAGCACUCAUUCCUCUCCUUGGAGUUCACUGGGAGGGAAGAUUGAGCUUUGGAGGCAGGCAAGAGUACGUCUUCUUACAGGACUGCUGAGAUAUGCAAAGACUGUAGCUGAGCACCAACAACAUCUGGAGAAAUGACAAAAGAGAAAUAGGACAGAGUUUACUUCAGCUAAAAAGAACAGAAGGCUUCUCUAGCACAAGUUUUCAGUUGAAGCAAUCCAACUGCUACCAUAAAGGUAGCCUGAACUGACACUCUUGGUUCAUAACCAGGAUUUUCAAGCAAGCAAAUAGAUUGCAGGGGUAUGAGUUGGAAGCUGGGUACUUUAUUGCAGACGAUGGUGAUCCCACCAGCUCAAGCAUACAGCAGUUUAACUCACUGUGCUUCUGAAUGCUGAGAGAAGCAGGACCAGCGCUGCUCCACACUUGCAUUAAGACCCGCUGAAGGAAGUGCUUCUGCCAGGAGGAGCAGAUAAACUGGAAUACUUCCAGGAGCUCUGGCAGGUACAUGCUGAAUGUCUUCAAGGACCUGGGUGAUGCUCAGCAAGUCAGUGAUGACACUGUAGUGAACUGGACCCUGAAAGAAUCUAGCAAGUCCACCUGCAUCCCAGAACUUCAAGGUGAAGAUUCCCCUUUUGUGUCCAAAAGGAGUGGCAGUUCCUAAUCACAGAAUCUUUCAGUCAGGUAGUGCUUCUAGAAAUCAAAUUGUUGUCCUUGUCAGUAAUGCUGGAGUAGUGGUUGGCUGGACUACCUUCCCUAAUUGAGAGCAAUGCAAAUCAACUCAAGCACUUCUUCGCAAUGAUCUCUCCUGUUUGCUCAGGCUUAUGAAAUGCUCACCCACUGAUCAGGGUUUGGAGAUUGAGCCCUUGUCUUUUUCUCAUCUUGUUGAAUCAUCAUAAGUUGUCAGGUUUUAAGUAUUUCUGUUAAACCGUGGCUUUGAAAUGUGUAUUCUGUGACUAUUAUGUAGUAGCAGAAUGACAGGCAGUUUUCAGGUCAAUAAUAGUCUUAGUUGGUUAUUUCUAAAAAUGCAAACAGAAGGAAGAAUGUAAAUGUUAGCUGAUAAGUCCUCGAUUAUGCAUGCUAGCUAUUAGCCCUUACAAAUAUUAAUUACAACUUUUAACAGUUGGUAAAGUGGUCUUGACAUUUCAAAGGUGAAUUUACACAUUAAAGACACUUGUCUCUGCUGUGGAAAGAUCAAAAUGCAUGCAUAAAACUGGUGUGACAGGACUGCUACACAUCUUGAAGACUGAAUCUUAGUAAAGAGGGUAUUAGGUGAAAUUAUGGUGGGCAGGGGCAGAGCUAAUGUGCCAGUUUUGGGUACCAGUCCAAAAGCCAACAAAGUCCUCUUUCCAUGGCAAAUGGGGAUGCUGUAUCCAUGGCAAGAAGAACUGCUUCCCGAGUGUGUGCUCUUCCAGAGGUGAAACCAAAGAUAGUGAUGACUGUGCACACCUGCUUAAUGGACAGAGGGAUGAAGCAAGUAUAAAGGGGCUGAUCCACGUAAAAAAAUUAAGCAAACAAAAUGCAACAAAAGUUCACCUUCCCACCACAGGUCCAUGAGUAGCAGACCAGCUGUGUCCAUGCUGAAAUGCUUUUGGCCUAGGAACUGCUGAAGCCCAAAGAUGCUAUGCUUUGCAAGACAAACUGGUAUCAGGAGAGAGGAGUUUUAACCAACAAACAUGCUCUUUUCCCACAGGAAAAUUUCUCGAGAGCUCACAGAAAUGCAUUAGUAACAGACCAGGGUUUGCAGUGCUGCUCUGGAGCUGUUUUCAC
ensembl:lncRNA